GUCCCGCCUGCCCACUGAUAUUAAUUCAACGGCCGCGGUAUUUUGACCGUGCUAAGGUAGCGUAAUCACUUGUCUUUUAAAUGAAGACCCGUAUGAAAGGCAUAACGAGGGCUUAACUGUCUCCUCUUUCCAGUCAAUGAAACUGAUCUCCCCGUGCAGACGCGGGGAUAACACCAUAAGACGAGAAGACCCUAUGGAGCUUCAGACACAAGGUAGACUAUUUCAAACACCCCUCAACAAGAAUUGAAUCUAAUAGAAACCUACCCCUGUCUUAGGUUGGGGCGACCCUGGGGAAACACAAAACCCCCAUGUGGAUAGGGAGAACAUACUUACAUCCCCCUAAAAACCCGAGAUACAACUCUAAUUAACAGAAUCUCUGACCAAAAUUGAUCCGGACAAACCCGAUUAACGGAACAAGUUACCCUAGGGAUAACAGCGCUAUCCCCUUUUAAAGUCCAUAUAGACAAGGGGGUUUACGACCUCGAUGUUGGAUCAGGACAUCCUAAUGGUGCAGCCGCUAUUAAGGGUUCGUUUGUUCAACGAUUAAAGUCCUACGUGAUCU
rnacentral:rRNA from 1 species